rnacentral:rRNA from 1 species
UAGGUAGGUGGUCUUAUUUGUCUGGGGUGAAAGCCUUGAGCUUAACUCAAGAAGUGCCCCAGAAACGGUGAGACUAGAGUUCUAGAGAGGGUCGUGGAAUUCCCGGUGUAGCGGUGAAAUGCGUAGAGAUCGGGAGGAACACCAGAGGCGAAGGCGGCGACCUAGAUAGAUACUGACACUCAACUACGAAAGCGUGGGGAGCAAACA